GGGCGACCUGAAGGGCGCCUUGCAGCGCCUGUGGUGGGCUGCCGGCCUGGCCGUGCUGGCCGCCGUCGCCGCC
rnacentral:tRNA from 1 species